rnacentral:rRNA from 1 species
AGAGAGAGACAUGCGCGCAUAUCAAUAAGCGGAGGAAAAGAAACUAACAAGGAUUCCCCUAGUAACGGCGAGUGAAGCGGGAAGAGCUCAAAUUUGAAAUCUUAAAGGGUUUCCCUUUACGAAUUGUAGUUUAAAGAAGUGUUUUCUGUUGAGGUUUUGGUAAAAGUUCUUUGGAAUAGGGACAUCAUAGAGGGUGAGAAUCCCGUAUUUGACCUUUACUUUCAACUUUGUGAUACACUUUCAAAGAGUCGGAUUGUUUGGGAAUGCAGUCCAAAAUGGGUGGUAAAUUUCAUCUAAAGCUAAAUAUUGGCGAGAGACCGAUAGCGAACAAGUACCGUGAGGGAAAGAUGAAAAGAACUUUGAAAAGAGAGUUAAACAGUACGUGAAAUUGUCAAAAGGGAAGCGUUUGACACCAGUGUUGUUUUUCUGAAAAUCAAUUAAAGAACUGUUUAUGCUAAGCUUGUUUAGACUUUAUCAGCUAACUGCUUAGUUUUGAGCUUUUCUUUAAUGCACUUUUCAGUUAACAAGUCAACAUCAAUUUCUUUUGCUGUAAAAAAGCUUGAGGAAGGUGGCUUGAGAUUCGUCUUAAGUGUUUAUAGCCUCUUGCCUAUGCAGUCGGAGAGAUUGAGGUCUGCAGGCGUAGAUCCUUCGGGGCUAAAUGCAUUUGUGCUAAGUUAUAGCAUUUUAUAGACAACUUGUUGACUAUGAUUUGUCUUGUAGCUUACUCGCUUAUGUUAUUUUACCUACGCUUAGGAUGUUGAGCGCAUGUCUCUCUCU